AUUGAACGCUGGCGGCAUGCCUAACACAUGCAAGUCGAACGGCAGCACAGCAGUAGCAAUACUGUGGGUGGCGAGUGGCGGACGGGUGAGGAAUACGUCGGAAUCUGCCCAGUCGUGGGGGAUAACUAGCCGAAAGGUUAGCUAAUACCGCAUACGACCGAGAGGUGAAAGCGGGGGGACCGCAAGGCCUCGCGCGAUUGGAUGAGCCGACGUCGGAUUAGCUAGUUGGCGGGGUAAAGGCCCACCAAGGCGACGAUCCGUAGCUGGUCUGAGAGGAUGAUCAGCCACACUGGAACUGAGACACGGUCCAGACUCCUACGGGAGGCAGCAGUGGGGAAUAUUGGACAAUGGGCGCAAGCCUGAUCCAGCAAUGCCGCGUGUGUGAAGAAGGCCUGGUGUAAGCACUUUAUCUAGGAACGAAAAGACGUUGGAUUAAUACUCUGACGUGCUGACGGUACCUGAGGAAUAAGCACCGGCGUAACUUCGUGCCAG
rnacentral:rRNA from 1 species